AGGAGGAAGGAGCCCUGCCUGUGCAAGCAGAGGGAAGAGGCCUGAAUGCAUCAGCAGUGAGACUGCAACUAGAUGGAGCUACAGAUUUCAUGAGUUUUGCAGUUCUUCCCAUUUCCUGGAAGAUGGGAGAUUGGUUUCAUCUCUCUUAUGAUACAGACUUCAAAAAUGGACGUUCCUCUAAUGAAACCUAAAGAGGCAUCAUUACAACACAGAAAAUGUCCUCAUAGAUAUAUACAGGUCUUCAGCAGAUUUAGAGCUGAGACAUACGCCUGGAUUAUUUGAGUUAAAUGAGUAAAUCCAUUAAUGACUGCUUGAAGUAGAUUAUUAUCCCCUUUGUAUAUUAGCUUCUUAGACAGGGUACAAUAUACACAUGCACUUUUACAAGUAUAUUGUUACCCACAUAGCUAUUUCUGUUCUCAAGUACUUUGUAUGCAUACUCUAGUAUUUCCUAGUGUAUAGCAUGUUGAAAAUUAAAACAGUGUGCAGUAUCCAUAUACACAUGGUUAAACAGCCUUUGCCCCCAUUCGCCAGUCUUUUUAGACUUAAUUCUUUUGACAUUUAAAACAAGCAAACGGUUUUAGCAUUUAGUUUCUAUAUAUUUUUGCAUAUCUGAAUAUCCCAAGAAUUUCUCAUCUGUGAAAUGCUCUUCGCCAAUGAUGCAGCAAUUGUUUGUAAUUCAGAAGCAGGACUGCCAAUUUUUAUGGAUCGCUUUUCUCAUGAUUGUGACAAUUUCAGUCUGACCGUUAGCCUAAAAAAACAGUAGUCAUGGGUCAACAAGUUGAACAUCCUCCUGAAGUUAGAAUAAUGAUGAAAGCCUGGAAGUGGUUGAAAAAAAUCACUUCCUUCCACUCCACCAUCUUGCAAAAUCUUGGCUUGGAAGCCAAAACUAAUGCUUGCAUUAGAAAGGCAAGCAACACCAUGGCUCAACUUCAAAAGAGAGUUUGGAAAAACAGAAUGCUCACUCUAUUGACAAAAUGUCCACCUACAGCACUUGCAUACUUAGGUCUUUAUUGUAUGGCAACAAAAUUUGAAUUACUUGUGCCAAAGAUGAAAGAAAACUGAACAGUUUCCAUUUUCAAUGUCUCUGCCAUAUCCUGGGCAUAACAUGGCAUGAUAAAAUCUCUGACUUCACUGUUUUGGAAUGGACCAAGAUCCCCAGAUGUUCAUGCUUCUGAGACAGAGACGCCUCUGUUCAUUAGGACAUGUGAAUUGUAUGGACAAUGGCUAAAUCCCCAAGGAUAUACUCUACAGUGAGCUGGCUGCUGGCAAAUGCCAGCUUGGAUGACCCAAAUGCUGUUUUGUUGAUGUCUGCAAGACAAGUGUUUGCAAGCUACGUAUCAAAGGCCAACACUCAGAAUCAGUCACUUUGGAAGUAGAAAGCCACUAUGAAGCAGGGCCUGCUUCGCUUUGAGAGAGAGAAGAGGCAUCAGAGGCAGGCAAGACAAGACAGUACUCAGCAGGUCGGUGCAAGCUCAACAAAGUUUGUAUGUGCAAUCUGCCUACAUGCAUCAGACUCCUCAGCCACUCAAGAAGCUGUGGUGGUUCCCAGUAACCCACCAAAGGCACAGUUUCCAUGGUUUCCCAAGACCAAUGGCUGCCAAUGAAUCUGAGUAUAUAAGUGGUGAGGUAAAAAGUUGUUUUUUUAUUAAGGUAAACAAAGAGUA